UACGUAGGGGGCGAGCGUUGUCCGGAUUUAUUGGGCGUAAAGAGCGUGUAGGCGGUUCGGUAAGUCUGUCGUGAAAUCCUGAGGCUCAACCUUGGGCGUGCGAUGGAUACUGCCGGGCUAGAGGAUGGUAGAGGCGAGUGGAAUUCCCGGUGUAGCGGUGAAAUGCGUAGAUAUCGGGAAGAACAUCGGUGGCGAAAGCGCUCUGCUGGACUGCAACUGACACUCAGGGACGAAAGCUAGGGGAGCGAAUGGG
rnacentral:rRNA from 1 species